rnacentral:rRNA from 1 species
CCUACGGGUGGCAGCAGUGAGGAAUAUUGGUCAAUGGCCGGAAGGCUGAACCAGUCAUGCCGCGUGAAGGUCAGUGCCCUAUGGGCGUUAAACUUCUUUUGUGCGGGAGCAAUAAUGGUCACGUGUGGCCAGACGAGAGUACCGUACGAAUAAGCAUCGGCUAACUCCGUGCCAGCAGCCGCGGUAAUACGGGGGAUGCAAGCGUUAUCCGGAUUUAUUGGGUUGAAAGGGUGCGUAAGCUGUGAGGUAAGUCAGCGGUGAAAUGCCCCGGCUCAACGGGGUGAAGUGCCAUUGAUACUGCCUGGCUGGAAUGCGGAUGCCGUGGGAGGAAUGUGUGGUGUAGCGGUGAAAUGCAUAGAGAUCACACAGAACACCGAUUGCGAAGGCAUCUCACGAAUCCGCGAUUGACGCUGAUGCACGAAAGCGUGGGUAUCAAACAGGAUUAGAUACCCUAGUAGUC